ACUCCUACGGGAGGCAGCAGUGGGGAAUAUUGGACAAUGGGGGAAACCCUGAUCCAGCCAUGCCGCGUGUGUGAAGAAGGCCUUCGGGUUGUAAAGCACUUUCAGUGGGGAGGAAAGGUUGUUGGUUAAUACCUAGCAGCUGUGACGUUACCCACAGAAGAAGCACCGGCUAACUCCGUGCCAGCAGCCGCGGUAAUACGGAGGGUGCGAGCGUUAAUCGGAAUUACUGGGCGUAAAGCGCGUGUGGUUGGCUUGUUAAGCCAGAAUGUGGAAAGCCCCGGGCUCAACCUGGGAACUGCAUUUGGAACUGGCAGACUAGAGUCUUGUAGAGGGGGUAGAAUUCCAGGUGUAGCGGUGAAAUGCGUAGAGAUCUGGAGGAAUACCGGUGGCGAAGGCGGCCCCCUGGACAAAGACUGACGCUCAGGCACGAAAGCGUGGGGAGCAAACAGGAUUAGAUACCCUGGUAGCUCGAUGU
rnacentral:rRNA from 1 species